CCUACGGGAGGCAGCAGUAGGGAAUUUUCGUCAAUGGGCGCAAGCCUGAACGAGCGAUGCCGCGUGAGUGAAGAAGGCCUUCGGGUCGUAAAGCUCUGUUGCGGGGGAAAAAAGGCAGCAUCAGGAAAUGGGUGCUGACUGAUGGUGCCCCGCCAGAAAGUCACGGCUAACUCCGUGCCAGCAGCCGCGGUAAUACGGAGGAUGCGAGCGUUAUCCGGAUUUAUUGGGUUUAAAGGGUGCGUAGGCGGACUGUUAAGUCAGCGGUAAAAGCCCGGGGCUCAACCCCGGCGAGCCGUUGAAACUGGCUGUCUUGAGAUGUCGAGAGGUAUGCGGAAUGCGCAGUGUAGCGGUGAAAUGCUUAGAUAUUGCGCAGAACUCCGAUUGCGAAGGCAGCAUACCGGCGGCGAUCUGACGCUGAGGCACGAAAGCGUGGGUAUCGAACAGGAUUAGAUACCCCUGUAGUC
rnacentral:rRNA from 1 species